AUCAGCCUCCCGCGUGAAGGAUGACGGCCCUAUGGGUUGUAAACUUCUUUUAUACUUAAAUAAACCUACCCACGCGCUGGGUAGCUGAAGGUAAAGUAUGAAUAAGCACCGGCUAACUCCGUGCCAGCAGCCGCGGUAAUACGGAGGGUGCAAGCGUUAUCCGGAUUUAUUGGGUUUAAAGGGUCCGUAGGUGGGCUAAUAAGUCAGUGGUGAAAUCCUACAGCUUAACUGUAGAACUGCCAUUGAUACUGUUAGUCUUGAGUAAUGUUGAAGUAGCUAAAAUAUGUACUGUACCGGUGAAAUGCAUAGAUAUUACAUACAAUACCAAUUGCGAAGGCACGUUACUAACCAUUUACUGACACUGAUGGACGAAAGCGUGGGGAGCGAACAGGAUUACAUACCCUGGUAGUCCACGCCGUAUACGAUGUUCACUCGCUGUUGGGGAUUUUUAUCUUCACUGGCUAAUCAAAAGUAAUAAGUGAACCACCUGGGGAGUACGUUCGCAAGAAUGAAACUCAGAUGAAUUUGACGGAGA
rnacentral:rRNA from 1 species